GAUUCAAGAAACAGGAAAAGGGGGUUGCUUUUUUAACCAUUUUUAGGGGAAUGUGAGAAUGGAGGGUAAGAAAGUUGGUUGCUUUUUUGUUUGAGUGAAGAGUUAAAAGGGUUGAAGGAAGUUACAAUGGCUACUAUUUGGUUGCAAGAGUGUGAAGUGAUGAUGUAAGCUAAAAUGGAGUGUUUUGUGGUGAUGAAGAUGAAAUCUUGCAGGGAGAUCUAUUUAUUAUAAAUGCUUUUCUUUCAUCCAGCCCACCACCCUGUACGGUUUCUCUAUUCC
rnacentral:lncRNA from 1 species